UGGAAAGCAAGCAAAAGGCAAAUGGGGAAAUCUAUCACCUUUUGUGUUCUUUUUGGCCAAUGUCAAGUUAGCACAUAUGCUCUCACCGCCCUGUGAAUGUACCAUUUUAUUUGGUACCAUAAACAUAUUGUCUUUACCAGUACUAUGAUCAAACGAUGGGGGGUUUUUACUUGAGACACACACAUCCACUGUCUAGCCAAAAAAAAUAAAAACAAAGUGAAGAGUAUAUGUGUAUAGACACCCAAAGUGAGAAGCUUAAUCGAAGAAGAAUCUUAUCUUUAUUCCCUUAGUUGUCCACAAUUGCUUCCUUCUUCAAUCACCCAUUGCAUGCAUUCUACUUGUCCACCAUACAUAUAUAUUGUUUAAAGCAUCUCUCCCUAACACAUCCCAAGUGUAAAUGUUUUGUCUCCCUUCACUUUAUCCAAUACAAACAGCCUCUGUCUCCAUUGGCUUUCAUCAACAAUAAACAAAAGGUACAGAAUGAGGCGUAGCUGCAAUGUCGUCCCUCGCCGCCUGCUUCUUCUGUAUUUCACUCUGGCUGCUGUUUCUUUAUGCUCUGUCUCCAGUAAGUAAACUUGAUGAUAUAUCAUCAUCCUCUCUGUUUGGUUAUUCUACUAUACGUAUGUUUUAAAUUCCCCUGAAUCAAUUGGAGCAGGUGGAAUGGGAUUGGCGGGAUUAUCUGUAGAAAAGGGCGGCAAACUUAGAAGCACGACCAGGUUCAACAUUGCUUCUUUGAUCCUCCAAAGAGAGACGAUGGUAAAUGCAGAGGAAGCAUCCAAUACGGCGCCGUACGUUGCUUCCCAUUUCUCGUUGACUCCUUACGACACCUUGUCCCCUCAG
rnacentral:lncRNA from 1 species